AUGCUAUUCAAGGGGUGCUUGUCUGAUUAGACGGCUGAGAACAUACCCUGUAACCUGAUCCGGACAAUGCCGGCGUAGGAAGGAUAAAUCCCCUGUUU
rfam:Prevotella sp. S7-1-8 contig031, whole genome shotgun sequence.